rnacentral:piRNA from 1 species
UCCCUGACACGGAGCUUACGUUGCGUCCAC